rnacentral:rRNA from 1 species
GGAUUCCCCUAGUAACUGCGAGUGAAGCGGGAAAAGCUCAAAUUUAAAAUCUGGUAGUCUUUGGCUGCCCGAGUUGUAAUCUAGAGAAGCGUUAUCCGCGCUGGACCGUGUACAAGUCUCCUGGAAUGGAGCGUCAUAGAGGGUGAGAAUCCCGUCUUUGACACGGACUACCAGGGCUUUGUGAUGCGCUCUCAAAGAGUCGAGUUGUUUGGGAAUGCAGCUCUAAAUGGGUGGUAAAUUCCAUCUAAAGCUAAAUAUUGGCGAGAGACCGAUAGCGAACAAGUACCGUGAGGGAAAGAUGAAAAGAACUUUGGAAAGAGAGUUAAACAGUACGUGAAAUUGUUGAAAGGGAAACGCUUGAAGUCAGUCGCGUUGGCCAGGGAUCAACCUUGCUUUUGCUUGGUGUACUUCCUGGUUAACGGGUCAGCAUCAAUUUUGACCAGUGGAAAAAGGUCAAGGGAAUGUGGCAUCUUCGGAUGUGUUAUAGCCCUUGAUUGUAUACAUUGGUUGGGAUUGAGGAACUCAGCACGCCGCAAGGCCGGGUUUUUAACCACGUUCGUGCUUAGGAUGCUGGCAUAAUGGCUUUAAUCGACCCGUCUUGAAACACGGACCAAGGAGUCUAACAUGCCUGCGAGUGUUUGGGUGGAAAACCCAAGCGCGUAAUGAAAGUGAAAGUUGGGAUCUCUGUCGUGGAGAGCACCGACGCCCGGACCAGACCUUCUGUGACGGAUCCGCGGUAGAGCAUGUAUGUUGGGACCCGAAAGAUGGUGAACUAUGCCUGAAUAGGGUGAAGCCAGAGGAAACUCUGGUGGAGGCUCGUAGCGAUUCUGACGUGCAAAUCGAUCGUCGAA